AUGGGUUCAGGGAUCCCCUAUAGGCGUCUCCCCACAUCUGUGUGGGACAGAGUAGAGGAGAAGAUGCCCAGCCUAUACCAAACUCUUUCAAACGUAUAUAAGACGUGGGGGAAGAAGCAUGUUUGGUGCGGUGGAAUCAUCGCCACCCUCUUCAUCUUCUUGAUCGUGUCUCUAAGUUGGCAGAAGCCAGAGGUUCGCCCCGAGCCAGACGAUACCCUUUCCGAAAGAUGUGCACAGCUACAAAGAGAAGUCUCCGGUCUGCAGGCCAUGCUCAAAAAGCACACGGAAGCCGCGGAGAGGGAGAAGGCAACGCUGAAAAGCGCCCUUUCCAGGAACCGGGAGCUGUUGCAGAAGGAGAAGGCAGACGGCGAAGCCCUCCGUGCUCGGCUGGUCCACUCAAACCAGACCGAGAAGCUCUUGGAGAAGACCAAGGAGGAAGGGGUCCAGAUGCAGGCUCAGCUGGAAGCUGCCCACCAGGCCCUCAGCGAAACCCGGCAGCUACGGGAUGCCUGCCAGGACCAGCUGGCAGGAAUCACAGCCCAAACAGCAGACAUGCAACAACAUGAGGAAGAAAAGAAGAAUCUCCAGGGUGAGAGUAAGGGAAGGUGGGACUGGGGGGUGCGCAUGUUGUGUUGCACACAGAGAGAGGGGUGGAGUGGAGGACCCUACGGAGCACAAGAUCUCCCUCCCCCACAAGUGGAUCCAGCUAACCUGGCCCAUUACAGCUGUUCCUGGGAUCGGGCGAUCAGGGUGUCUGAUUCCCUGCUGGUCAGGGCCGGCUUACCUGCUGGUAGUUGGGAUGGAAGGAUGCCAGGCAGCCCACCCCCCCCUCCCGACAGGGUAGACCCCCAUCAAGCACUGCAGCGUUCCAGGAACAAAGGGGUUAAGUUCUGAAGACCCUUCAAAACAACCCAGCCAGCUCUUUUCCAAACUGCAGGAAGUGAGGAAAGUGUGGGCUGUGACAAUCCUUCAAGAUCAGCCCUUAAGGAAUUCCUUCUUCUAUUGAUGAGCCUGUUCUCUGCUGCCCUCCAGGGGCUGACCCCUGGUACCGCAGCCUAGGGAUUGCCAAAGGGAUUGCAAAGCGCCAGGGUGGUGGGAUAAUAAGGGGAAAACGGGCAGGUCUGAAGCCGAGGAUGGGAAGGGGUGGGUGCCCUGAUUUAAAGAACAGCUCCGUGAAACGCUUCCAAGGAAAUCUGAUGGGUGCUUUUCCUUCUUCUUCUUCUUUUUAAAGAGGAAAUUGAACACCUUCGACAGCAGGUGUCCAGGAUGGCCGAUGAGCUGCGGGACAUCUGGACAAAGAAGUAAGAAAAGCACCAUCCGUGGACUUUUUGUGUGUGUGUGGUCUCCCCCCCCCCCAUUUUAAUGGUCAGAAUCGUUUGGAGUUGUGCUUUUAGAAUUUCCUUUUUUCAGAAACUCCCACCCAUCUCGGACUCCUUUUCCACCGAGGGUUUCCUGCCAUGGGACCUUACCUACCCUAGUUCCAAGUUUAUUAAAACUGGCUUUCCUAAAGUCCAGAAUGUAGAACCUGGUCACUUUCUCCUCCCCCCUCCUCCUCCUCCCGAGAGUUUCCUCUUGCUGCCACUUCUCCCACCAAAAAGUCCUCUCCGUUGGUUGGGAUCAAGUCCAGGAUAAUAGCAACUCCUCUGGUUUCUCCCACUUUUUGUAGGAGAAUUUCUUGGAAAGGCCGUACGGUGGCAGAAUUGGCCUCCCAACGAACGGAGAACAGGAUCGGCAGCUGGUAGAAGACAGGAGGACCCCUUCAUGGGUUCCAAAGGCCCCCCCCCCAUGCUGAAAAACACAGAUUUAGAGCAAAUACUAUUAUAAUAGUGAAUGCCAUACAUAACAGGGUCUCUGGUGCCCUCUUGUGACCAGUUCUGGUAACUUCACCUUUAGAAACCUCUAUUUCUGGGAUUUUUCUCUUAAUAUUUUUAGACUGUGGAUAAGUGAAUCAGUGGAUACCGAUCCCGUGGAAAAGGGAAUCUUCCUGUAGAACAGAUUAUAAGCAGCUGGCGUCAGAGGCUCUGUUCUGUUUCCCAGGUGGUGGCGGGGGGGGGGAAGGGUCAGGACAGAGCCGGCCAUUUCCCCCACAUUGCUUAACUUGUUUGUGGUCUUCUCAGAGCAAACCGCGAGGAGAGAAUCCAGCAUUUGGAGGAGCAGCUCAGUCGGCAGCAGAGGUCCACUGAGAAGAGCGAGGAGAUCCCGCCCAUCGUCCUUUUCCUGUCUGGUUUUGUUGUGUGUGCUAUAUGCAAGUGUUUUUGUGCUGGAAACAACUAACUGCCCCCAGGCCCCCCCAGGAGGAAACACCUGGGUGAGGAGCAGGUGAACUGGGAAACCAUUCAUAAAUUCACCCUGCUCCCAAAUUGUUAGUUAUUUGGUUUAUUGUUUUCUUAUUUAAUUUAUUAAUGGGUCACACCCAUUAAUAAUUUCUUUCCUUAAUUUAUUAUUAUUAGUAAACAUUAUUUUAUUAAUUUAUUAUUAAUGAAUUUUAGGUGAUGAGCCAUUUUCCUCACUUUUCUCUAGGUAAAUUAAUAUCGGAUCUUUACUUAAGGGAAUGUACCGGCACACUGUUUUCUUCGCUAUGGCUAUUUCAUAGAGAAGUGAACUUAAUAUUUAAUUUUAAUAUUUGCAACUUUUUUAAAAAAUUCAAUUCCAUUGUUUUUUUCACUGCAUUUUUAAGCCACCUUGGGUCCCAUUUCUGGGAGAAAUGCAUCAUGUAAAUAAAAUAAAAUAAGGGGUGGUAUCCUCCUUGUGG
rnacentral:lncRNA from 1 species